rnacentral:rRNA from 1 species
CGGAACAAUUUUUACUUUAGUGGCGGACGGGUGAGUAACGCGUGGGUAACCUGCCCUAUACAGGGGGAUAACACUUAGAAAUAGGUGCUAAGACCGCAUAAGCGCCCAGGGCCGCAUGGCCCAGGGUGAAAAACUCCGGUGGUAUAAGAUGGGCCCGCGUCUGAUUAGCCAGUUGGCAGGGUAACGGCCUACCAAAGCGACGAUCAGUAGCCGGCCUGAGAGGGUGGACGGCCACAUUGGGACUGAGACACGGCCCAAACUCCUACGGGAGGCAGCAG